rnacentral:lncRNA from 10 species
AGCCUAUCUGCCUCCUGGGCUGACGUGUCAGCCAGUGCACCCAGGAUGUUCGUGCUGAGGCACCUGCGGACCCAUGCGGGGCUGCCCUCAGGCCCCACGCAGCCCCCCUCCCGUACUCGUUGACGUCCAAAGUCUGGAGGAGGCCGAGGGUUCAGGGCACUGGCAUGCCAGUGCCACCCCAAGCAUGGACACACCCGGCCUGGUUGCAGGAGCUCCCAGGCUCGGCCACAACUUUGCUCCCACCCGGAGUGGGUGCCAGGAGCGGGGAGAGGCCAGGCCCUAGGAGCAGGAACUUUCAAGCCUGCAGAGACAAGGGACUUCCUGGGCCCCGAGAGUGCAGCGAUGCCUGGGUCCUGGGCCGUGGCUGGGUGGCUGCAGCUGCACCUGGAGGCUCCUGGAGUGUCCCGCUCCUGCCCCACUGACUCCGUACAGUGCAGGGCUCCCCACUGUUGCCGGCCCCUGCUGGCUCCGCGAAGUACGCAGCCCUGGCCGCGCCUACCCCGCUGCAGUGGAUGUCUUUGCAGCAGCCCCUCCAGAUGGGCCGCCGCUGCCAUCAGUAGUAUUUGGAUCCAUCAGCUAGAAGCCAGAACGGGUGAGAUGUACACAUGA